AUACGUAGGGUGCGAGCGUUGUCCGGAAUUACUGGGCGUAAAGAGCUCGUAGGUGGUUUGUCGCGCCGUCUGUGAAAUUCCGGGGCUUAACUCCGGGCGUGCAGGCGAUACGGGCAUAACUUGAGUACUGUAGGGGAGACUGGAAUUCCCGGUGUAGCGGUGAAAUGCGCAGAUAUCAGGAGGAACACCGGUGGCGAAGGCGGGUCUCUGGGCAGUAACUGACGCUGAGGAGCGAAAGCAUGGGUAGCGAACAGGAUUAGAUACCCUGGUAGUCCAUGCCGUAAACGGUGGGCGCUAGGUGUAGGGGUCUUCCACGACUUCUGUGCCGUAGCUAACGCAUUAAGCGCCCCGCCUGGGGAGUACGGCCGCAAGGCUAAAACUCAAAUGAAUUGACGGGG
rnacentral:rRNA from 1 species